rnacentral:rRNA from 1 species
GACGAACGCUGGCGGCGUGCUUAACACAUGCAAGUCGAACGGAAAGGCCCUGCUUUUGUGGGGUGCUCGAGUGGCGAACGGGUGAGUAACACGUGAGUAACCUGCCCUUGACUUUGGGAUAACUUCAGGAAACUGGGGCUAAUACCGGAUAGGAGCUCCUGCUGCAUGGUGGGGGUUGGAAAGUUUCGGCGGUUGGGGAUGGACUCGCGGCUUAUCAGCUUGUUGGUGGGGUAGUGGCUUACCAAGGCUUUGACGGGUAGCCGGCCUGAGAGGGUGACCGGCCAAAUUGGGACUGAGAUACGGCCCAGACUCCUACGGGAGGCAGCAGUGGGGUAUAUUGCACAAUGGGCGGAAGCCUGAUGCAGCAACGCCGCGUGCGGGAUGACGGCCUUCGGGUUGUAAACCUCUUUCGCCUGUGACGAAGCGUGAGUGACGGUAAUGUGUACAGAAGCACCGGCUAACUACGUG